GGUGGAAAUAUGCCAUAAAUGGUAUCCUUGAAGUAAAUGUAAAACCGGGCCUACACAUGUGGUCAUGGAGGCACAUUCGGAGACACAGACAGGCAGUUAAGCGAUACAAAGAAAUAUACAAGUCGAAGAUUACCACUAAGAAGCCUUUGGAGGAUGUACUGUGUGUUUGUGAGGUUGUACUUUUUCUAUGUCAUACUGAUUUACCAAUUGUAGUAUAUGAAUGAAUAUUUUGUUCACUGUAAGUACAUUUUUCUUGACCUACACAAAUAUUUUUUUGUGCAAAAGUCCUAUAAUACAAGAGAAGUUUUAAGUAUUCUAUUUUAUUUAUUUCUUAGGAUUAUGAGAAGACCCUGGACAUUUUUAACAUAACUCUAGCACGGCAACAAGCAGAAGUGGAGGUAAAAACAAGUUUUAUAGUUUAAAAGAUAUCUAUAAAUAAGGAAAUGUUUAUUUUCAGCUACAAACAGUUUCUCUGUAUGGCCAUCACUACCUUUAUAGAAAUAAAAAACAAAAUCAAACUCCUCUAACAUGAAAGAGGCCUGUGAGAUCCCCAGCAUUAUCCCUGAGAUAACAAAGAUCCUUCAAACCAACAUUGCGUAAUAAAUAAUGCUGGGCAAAGGGGUAUUUGUAUACGUAUGCGAUGUACCCUGAGCAACAAUGCUUACUUAAUGGUACCUUACCUUUUUUCCCAAUAAUGUUAGAAUUUAUGCCAGACAAUAUGCCAUUUUGCACAUGGGAACUGCAAUGCCACUACAACAUUUUGGUUUCCUGUUGGAAUUUUUCCUACAGCACUUUAUGGCUGACUGCUUAUUUACAACAUCUGGUAAAUUGAAUUUGAUGUAAAAAUGCUGUGAUGACAAAAAAAAAGCAAUUUAAUAAUUGACCCUUAUAUUGCAUCAAAAUCCACUCUGGCUAUUCUAUAGGUCCAAUCAGUUGAGUUUAAUAUGAACUGGUAAUGUAAGCUAGGGUAAUGUAAGCUAGUUCUUGCUCUUAUUUUCAUCGUCAGGCAUGCAAAUCUGGCCUUAAAAUAUUUAAAGCGGGAGCUAAAGAUGAUGACAGUAACUCAAAGG